rnacentral:lncRNA from 1 species
UUAGAUCAUUGAUCAGAUUAUUAUUAUCUCCAAAAUUAAAUCUGUACAUCAUGUCUAGUGCUAGCUAGACAGACAACUCUUUAAUUCUGUAUGACUUCUAAUUUAAUUCUCAAUUAAGCUAAUCUAUUUAUUCAAUCAAGUCAAAUACUUCUAAAUUGAACUCAUAGAUAUUAGGUCAAUUCUUGCCUACUUUGUCUAACUUUGUGCGUAACUCUAUAGGUUUGAAUACAAAGCUGAUAGCACAAAAAACUAUUUUCUAUACUAAUUAAAGUUACCAUCCAGUAAUGAUUUUCGACAUCUGGAUAGGUCA